rnacentral:rRNA from 1 species
UACGAAGGGGGCUAGCGUUGCUCGGAAUCACUGGGCGUAAAGGGUGCGUAGGCGGGUCUUUAAGUCAGGGGUGAAAUCCUGGAGCUCAACUCCAGAACUGCCUUUGAUACUGAGAGUCUCGAGUACGGGAGAGGUGAGUGGAACUGCGAGUGUAGAGGUGAAAUUCGUAGAUAUUCGCAAGAACACCAGUGGCGAAGGCGGCUCACUGGCCCGGUACUGACGCUGAGGUGCGAAAGCGUGGGGAGCAAACAGG